rnacentral:rRNA from 1 species
GACGAACGCUGGCGGCGUGCUUAACACAUGCAAGUCGAACGGAAAGGCCCUGCAUUUGUGGGGUGCUCGAGUGGCGAACGGGUGAGUAACACGUGAGUAACCUGCCCUUGACUUUGGGAUAACUUCAGGAAACUGGGGCUAAUACCGGAUAGGAGCUCCUGCUGCAUGGUGGGGGUUGGAAAGUUUCGGCGGUUGGGGAUGGACUCGCGGCUUAUCAGCUUGUUGGUGGGGUAGUGGCUUACCAAGGCUUUGACGGGUAGCCGGCCUGAGAGGGUGACCGGCCACAUUGGGACUGAGAUACGGCCCAGACUCCUACGGGAGGCAGCAGGGGGGAAUAUUGCACAAUGGGCGGAAGCCUGAUGCAGCAACGCCGCGUGCGGGAUGACGGCCUUCGGGUUGUAAACCGCUUUCGCCUGUGACGAAGCGUGAGUGACGGUAAUGGGUAAAGAAGCACCGGCUAACUACGUG